GGUGGAUGCCUUGGCAUCAGGAGCCGAUGAAGGACGUAGGAGGCUGCGAUAAGCCUCGGGGAGCUGUC
rnacentral:rRNA from 1 species